GAUGAACGCUGGCGGCGGGCCUAAUACAUGCAAGUCGAGCGAACAGAUGAUGAGCUCGUUCCCCUGAGGGUAGCGGCGGACGGGUGAGUAACACGUGGAUAACCUACCUAUAUUACGGGGAUAAUUACGGGAAGCCGCAUCCAAUACCGGAUAAUACAUUCAACGGCAGGAUGCAAUAGUUAAUGACGGCUUUGCUGUCAGUUUUAGAUGGAGUCGCGCCGCAUUGGCUGGUUGGUAAGGUAACGGCCUACCAAGGCAACGAUGCGUAGCCGAACUGAGAGGGUGAUCAGCCACACUGGAACUGAGACACGGUCCAGACUCCUACGGGAGGCAGCAGUAGGGAAUAUUGCGCAAUGGGCGCAAGCCUGACGCAGCCAUGCCGCGUGAGUGAAGAAGGCCUUCGGAUUGUAAAACUCUGUUGUUAGGAAAGAACAACAGUAUAAUAAUCCAUCGCCGUUUUGACGGUACCUAAACAAAAAGCACCGGCUAACUACGUG
rnacentral:rRNA from 1 species